GGGAUGAGUGACUCAAGGUUUCUCUCUGUUCUUGGCCAAGAGCCCUGCUGUCUAGGUAGAGGGGCAGGCGCUCUUGUGGGGGUACCAUGAGGCUCCCUGACUCCCAUCCUCUUGGAAGACAGAGUUCCAAUGCUGCUUGCAGGUGGCUGAGAGAUGCCAGGUGUCUCCAGGGCUUCCCUGGGUGGCUGUGAGCACAGCAGAUCUGCUUGCCAGUUUGUUCCACACGUGGGGGCGUGAGCACGAGCCACCAACAUGGAUUGGAGCUCUUCUCGGCUGUUUUAAGACUGUUUCAAGCUGUCCACCAUCUUCGGAAUUCCCUUUAUUCUUCCGAAGUGCCAGUUUCCUAUUAGAACCAAAAUAGAAUCAUCAUUUUCGUAUUUUCAAUGGAUUCAGAAACUAAAAAUGUUUUCUGGCAUCAAUUUCUGGGAAAAUGUACAUGCUAAUGUUUUGAAGGGAUUUGCAUAUGGGAACAACUUGCUCUCAUGAUAAAUUUUUUCUGCAUGGGCUCUGGCCUCAGGAGUCUGGCCUCAAAUCUCAAUUCUGAAAAUAGGUAUGGUAACGAUAUAACAAUAAUCAUAAUAAUUAUCCCAUAUAGUUGUUUCCAGGGCUAAAUAAAAUAGUCUAUGUGAGUUGCUUGGUGCAACACCUGAUUCAUAGAAGCCCUCUAAAAAUAAGGAGCGGAAGGGAUGGAACGGAGGUUAGAA
rnacentral:lncRNA from 10 species